AGUGAAACCGCAAAAGGCUCAGUAAACCAGUCAUGAUUCACUCGAGUAUACAUGACUGUCUUUGGAUAACUGUGGUAAUCCUAGAGCUAAUACAUGCAAUCAAGUCCCGACCAGUCUGACUGGGAAGGACGCUUUUAUUAGAUCAAGACCAAUCGCCCGGCUCGUUCGGGCGUUGCCUUGGUGACUCUAGGUAACACAUCAGAUCGCACGGUCCUCGCACCGGCGACUUAUCCUUCAAAUGCCUGACUUAUCAACUGUCGAUGGUAGACUCUAUGUCUACCAUGGUUGUAACGGGUAACGGGGAAUCAGGGUUCGAUUCCGGAGAGGGAGCCUGAGAAACGGCUACCACAUCCAAGGAAGGCAGCAGGCACGCAAAUUACCCACUCCCGGCACGGGGAGGUAGUGACAAAAAAUAACGAUACGGGACUCUUAUGAGGCCCCGUAAUCGGAAUGAGUACACUUUAAAUCCUUUAACAAGGAUCCAUUGAAGGGCAAGUCUGGUGCCAGCAGCCGCGGUAAUUCCAGCUUCAAUAGCGUAUAUUAAAGUUGUUGCGGUUAAAAAGCUCGUAGUUGGUUCUGCGUGCCACGCUGUCGGUUCGCCGCCUGCCGGUGUAACUGGCAUGCCGUGGCAUGUCCUGUCGGUGGCGUUCGGGAGCCUCGUCUAGGCGACGGCCCUUGCCUAAAGCUUGGUGUCCGGAGGCCGGGGGUAUACCCGUUCGCCUACUCUAUCCUACCUAGGUGCUCUUUACCGAGUGUCGAGGUAGGCCGACACGUUUACUUUGAACAAAUUAGAGUGCUCAAAGCAGGCUGAAAUCUCUGCCUGAAUAGUGGUGCAUGGAAUAAUAAAACAGGACCUUGGUUCUAUUUUGUUGGUUCUUAGGAACACAAGGUAAUGAUCAAUACGGACAGGCGGGGGCAUUCGUAUUGCGACGUUAGAGGUGAAAUUCUUGGAUCGUCGCAAGACGCACAAGAGCGAAAGCAUUUGCCAUGUUCCUCCGAUGACUCGGCGGGGAGCUUCUUCCCGGGAAACCAAAGCUUUUGGGUUCCGGGGGAAGUAUGGUUGCAAAGCUGAAACUUAAAGGAAUUGACGGAAGGGCACCACCAGGAGUGGAGCCUGCGGCUUAAUUUGACUCAACACGGGAAACCUCACCAGGCCAGGACAUUGGAAGGAUUGACAGAUUGAUAGCUCUUUCUUGAUUCAGUGGGUAGUGGUGCAUGGCCGUUCUUAGUUGGUGGAUCGAUUUGUCUGGUUAAUUCCGAUAACGAACGAGACUCUAGCCUAUUAACUAGGCGUUUACCGGUGUCCUCGCCACCGGCGACAAUCAUUCUUCUUAAGGGGACAGGCGGCUUAUAGCCGCACGAGAUUGAGCAAUAACAGGUCUGUGAUGCCCUUAGAUGUCCUGGGCCGCACGCGCGCUACACUGAAGGAAUCAGCGUGUGCCUCCCUGGCCGAAAGGCCCGGGUAAUCCGCUGAACCUCCUGCGUGCUAGGAAUUGGGGCUUGCAAUUGUUCCCCAUGAACGAGGAAUUCCCAGUAAGCGCGAGUCAUAAGCUCGCGUUGAUUACGUCCCUGCCCUUUGUACACACCGCCCGUCGCUACUACCGAUUGAAUGAUUUAGUGAGGUCUUCGGACUGGCGGUAAUCCCUACCGACUCGUCGGUAUCGAUGAACGCUGGAAAGAUGACCAAACUUGAUCAUUUAGAGGAAGUAAAAGUCGUAACAAGGUUUCCGUAGGUGA
rnacentral:rRNA from 1 species